rnacentral:rRNA from 1 species
GACGAACGCUGGCGGCGCGCCUAACACAUGCAAGUCGAACGAGCGAGAGAGAGCUUGCUUUCUCAAGCGAGUGGCGAACGGGUGAGUAACGCGUGAGGAACCUGCCUCAAAGAGGGGGACAACAGUUGGAAACGACUGCUAAUACCGCAUAAGCCCACAGGUCGGCAUCGACCAGAGGGAAAAGGAGCAAUCCGCUUUGAGAUGGCCUCGCGUCCGAUUAGCUAGUUGGUGAGGUAACGGCCCACCAAGGCAACGAUCGGUAGCCGGACUGAGAGGUUGAACGGCCACAUUGGGACUGAGACACGGCCCAGACUCCUAUGGGAGGCAGCAGUGGGGAAUAUUGCACAAUGGGGGAAACCCUGAUGCAGCGACGCCGCGUGGAGGAAGAAGGUCUUCGGAUUGUAAACUCCUGUUGUUGAGGAAGAUAAUGACGGUACUCAACAAGGAAGUGACGGCUAACUACGUG